rnacentral:rRNA from 1 species
CGCGAAUGGCUCAUUCAACAGCCAUAGUUUAUUGGAUGUUUACGUUCCUACAAGGACACCUGCGGUAAUUCUGGAGCUAAUACUUGCGAAAUGCGACAGCCUCACGGGAGUCGUGCAUUUAUUAGAUUAAACCAAUCGGUCCUUCGGGACCGCCAUUUGGUGAACUCUGAAUAACUUAGCUGAUCGCACAGUCUCGUGCUGGCGACAAAUCUUUCAAGUGUCUGCCUUAUCAACUUUCGAUGGUAGUUCAUACGACUACCAUGGUUGUAACGGGUAACGGAGAAUAAGGGUUCGACUCCGGAGAGGGAGCCUGAGAAACGGCUCCCACAUCCAAGGAAGGCAGCAGGCGCGCAAAUUACCCACUCGCAGAACGCGGAGGUAGUGACGAAAAAUAACGAGGUGGCUCUCUAUGAGGUCCAUCAUCGGAAUGGGUACAAUUUAAAUCCUUUAACGAGGAUCUAUUGGAGGGCAAGUCUGGUGCCAGCAGCCGCGGUAAUUCCAGCU